GUUUUUGGAUGGAAGGGUUAUAUUCGUAGAAGAAGCUAAAAGCAGAUCAGAUAUCUCCAGAGGUAAACCCAGACCAGACUACCCCAAAGCUCAAUCAAAACCUCGCACCUUUCGUACAUGGUAGCUGUUUUGAUUCUGUCUUCAUACUGUGUAAUGAAUUGUAAAAUUUUGAUCUACCUUCUUAGAUUAUACAAUGGAGUCACUUGUCAACUCCUACCAUGGUUUUACUAGUCUAAACUAAAAUUAACAUUUUUAAAAAUAACAUUUGCCAUGUCAAAAAAUGCAUAAUAUAGCCUUCAAAAUAUAUUUUUCCUUACGAUUAAUAAUUUUACUUAUGAAUCACAGUUUGUGAUAGAAAAUAAUUUCAAAUCAAAAAUUAGGCUUUACCUAUGUUGACGAAUCAAUGAUAAUGUAGCAGAUGACAAAAAAAAAAAAAAGAUUACUUAUUCUUUUCAGAAUCUACCUACAUUAUUUGUGUUAAUUAUAUUGGUCCAAUUUACAAAAAAAAAAACGUAUAUGUGAAGUACCAAAAUUACCCUAAAUAAAUCAAAGUUUUGUGUAGUAAGUUGAGGGGAUAGGGUCCGGCGAAGAAGGAGAAGAUGACAAUGGCAGUGAGCUUAGGGAUAGUUGUCGUUCCGUCGUGUUCCGGAGAUCGCGUCUUCCGAUCUAACUUCUCGCCCGUCUGUAGCGUCUCUUGCGGCCGAAUCAAUGUCGGAACCGUCGUAAUUUCGACUCGCCGACGCCGUGAUAUGGGCGGGUUAAUGAUUUCUAGCUGUAUCUCUUCGGAUUCUUCUUCUUCUUCGUCAUCGUCUUCCUCUGUGCCAAAGACGAAACUCUUUGUUAUUGGUAAGUAAGUUUUAUGUUUCCAGUUUCUUCAUCUGCUCAUCACCCCAAUUCGUGAAAGAUGCUUAUGUUAUGGAAUUUUCUUGUUAUAUACUGUGUGAUUCUUUUAGUGUUUCGUUAAGUAGUAUUCAAUUAAAUUCUGCGGCUGUUCACUGAGGAUACAGACAUUGAGAGCAACCCUGUCAUUUUCUUUGAUAAACUUAGAAGUUAGGAUAUCUCCAAAACCUUAAGAGCGAUGACAUUUGUGGCGCUUGCUUGUCACCAAUUACAUAGUUAACAAUGUUACAUGUUNNNNNNNNNNNNNNNNNNNNNNNNNNNNNNNNNNNNNNNNNNNNNNNNNNNNNNNNNNNNNNNNNNNNNNNNNNNNNNNNNNNNNNNNNNNNNNNNNNNNUGUUAAUUGUGUUUGCUUUCAUUCGUUAUUGGACCUUGUGGUAUCACUCAGUAUUAUAGCUAAAUCGUUGUGAAUUAGAGCUUUAGACAGUGUUAAUGCUCUUUUAUGGUUUUAUCCACUUUUCACCUCUCUGCUUUCACCACAUGAGACUUGAACUCGAAACAAUAUGGAUUUGAUUUUGUUGUUUUUGCACAGGGCUUUCAUUCCGGACAACUGAAGAUACCUUACGGGAUACAUUUGAACAGUUUGGCAAGCUUGUACACAGUAAGCAUAAAGCUCACUUUUGUUCUACUUCUACCCACAUUCUACAAGUGUGUAACUCAUGUUCUUGCAUGCGUCCCCUCGUGUAGUGAACUUGGUGAUGGAUAAGGUAGCUAAUAGACCAAAAGGUUUUGCCUUCCUACGGUAUGACACAGAGGAGGAGGCUAUGAAAGCUAUUGAAGGGAUGCACGGAAAGGUAUACAGCUUAAUAUCACAGACUUAACUUCAUACUUCAAAUCGUUUUACUGGUGAUUGAUAACAAGAUAUUGGUUAAUAGCAAAUUAUGAUUUGGUGUUUAUACAGUUUUCGGAUGGAAGGGUUAUAUUCGUAGAAGAAGCUAAAAGCAGAUCAGAUAUCUCCAGAGGUAAACCCAGACCAGACUACCCCAAAGCUCAAUCAAAACCUCGCACCUUUCGUACGUGGUAGCUGUUUUGAUUCUGUCUUCAUACUGUGUAAUGAAUUGUAAAAUUUUGAUCUACCUUCUUAGAUUAUACAAUGGAGUCACUUGUCAACUCCUACCAUGGUUUUACUAGUCUAAACUAAAAUUAACAUUUUUAAAAAUAACAUUUGCCAUGUCAAAAAAUGCAUAAUAUAGCCUUCAAAAUAUAUUUUUCCUUACGAUUAAUAAGUUUACUUAUGAAUCACAGUUUGUGAUAGAAAAUAAUUUCAAAUCAAAAAUUAGGCUUUACCUAUGUUGACGAAUCAAUGAUAAUGUAGCAGAUGACAAAAAAAAAAAAAAGAUUACUUAUUCUUUUCAGAAUCUACCUACAUUAUUUGUGUUAAUUAUAUUGGUCCAAUUUACAAAAAAAAAAACGUAUAUGUGAAGUACCAAAAUUACCCUAAAUAAAUCAAAGUUUUGUGUAGUAAGUUGAGGGGAUAGGGUCCGGCGAAGAAGGAGAAGAUGACAAUGGCAGUGAGCUUAGGGAUAGUUGUCGUUCCGUCGUGUUCCGGAGAUCGCGUCUUCCGAUCUAACUUCUCGCCCGUCUGUAGCGUCUCUUGCGGCCGAAUCAAUGUCGGAACCGUCGUAAUUUCGACUCGCCGACGCCGUGAUAUGGGCGGGUUAAUGAUUUCUAGCUGUAUCUCUUCGGAUUCUUCUUCUUCUUCGUCAUCGUCUUCCUCUGUGCCAAAGACGAAACUCUUUGUUAGUGGUAAGUAAGUUUUAUGUUUCCAGUUUCUUCAUCUGCUCAUCACCCUAAUUCGUGAAAGAUGCUUCUGUUAUGGAAUUUUCGUGUUAUAUACUCUGUGAUUCUUUUAGUGUUUCGUUAAGUAGUAUUCAAUUAUAUUAUGCGGCUGUUCACUGAGGAUACAGACAUUGAGCGCAACCCUGUCAUUUUCUUUGAUAAACUUAGAAGUUAAGAUAUCUCCAAAACCUUAAGAGCGAUGACAUUUGUGGCGCUUGCUUGUCACCAAUUACAUAGUUAACAAUUUUACAUGUUAAAAUCCUUUGUUGGGUGUUUAAAAAUGUAGAGUGAAAGGUAUGACAAACUUAUCCAGGGUGUAGAACCUUUCAGUUUGUUGUGGUAUAGCCUGACUCCUUGAGGAAAUGUCUCUGUUUGGUUUCUUUCAGGAAUAGGUCUGAAAUCGGAGACUAUUAGAGUUACUUUUUAUAUGUUUACAGUGUUUGUACCUAAGACAUUGUCAGAUUUGUUGUAAAGACAGGGAAUGAUUUUGGUUGGUGUGGAAGUAGAAUAAAUGGGUGUGAAGUUUUGAACUUCUGAUGAUCUGGGGAGAUUGAUAUCUUUAUUGUGUUAAUUGUGUUUGCUUUCAUUCGUUAUUGGACCUUGUGGUAUCACUCAGUAUUAUAGCUAAAUCGUUGUGAAUUAGAGCUUUAGACAGUGUUAAUGCUCUUUUAUGGUUUUAUCCACUUUUCACCUCUCUGCUUUCACCACAUGAGACUUGAACUCGAAACAAUAUGGACUUGAUUUUGUUGUUUUUGCACAGGGCUUUCAUUCCGAACAACUGAAGAUACCUUACGGGAUACAUUUGAACAGUUUGGCAAGCUUGUACACAGUAAGCAUAAAGCUCACUUUUGUUCUACUUCUGUCCACAUUCUACAAGUGUGUAACUCAUGUUCUUGCAUGCGUCCCCUCGUGUAGUGAACUUGGUGAUGGAUAAGGUAGCUAAUAGACCAAAAGGUUUUGCCUUCCUACGGUAUGACACAGAGGAGGAGGCUAUGAAAGCUAUUGAAGGGAUGCACGGAAAGGUAUACAGCUUAAUAUCACAGACUUAACUUCAUACUUCAAAUCGUUUUACUGGUGAUUGAUAACAAGAUAUUGGUUAAUAGCAAAUUCUGAUUUGGUGUUUAUACAGUUUUUGGAUGGAAGGGUUAUAUUCGUAGAAGAAGCUAAAAGCAGAUCAGAUAUCUCCAGAGGUAAACCCAGACCAGACUACCCCAAAGCUCAAUCAAAACCUCGCACCUUUCGUACGUGGUAGCUGUUUUGAUUCUGUCUUCAUACUGUGUAAUGAAUUGUAAAAUUUUGAUCUACCUUCUUAGAUUAUACAAUGGAGUCACUUGUCAACUCCUACCAUGGUUUUACUAGUCUAAACUAAAAUUAACAUUUUUAAAAAUAACAUUUGCCAUGUCAAAAAAUGCAUAAUAUAGCCUUCAAAAUAUAUUUUUCCUUACGAUUAAUAAUUUUACUUAUGAAUCACAGUUUGUGAUAGAAAAUAAUUUCAAAUCAAAAAUUAGGCUUUACCUAUGUUGACGAAUCAAUGAUAAUGUAGCAGAUGACAAAAAAAAAAAAAUAUUACUUAUUCUUUUCAGAAUCUACCUACAUUAUUUGUGUUAAUUAUAUUGGUCCAAUUUACCAAAAAAAAAAACGUAUAUGUGAAGUACCAAAAUUACCCUCAAUAAAUCAAAGUUUUGUGUAGUAAGUUGAGGGGAUAGGGUCCGGCGAAGAAGGAGAAGAUGACAAUGGCAGUGAGCUUAGGGAUAGUUGUCGUUCCGUCGUGUUCCGGAGAUCGCCUCUUCCGAUCUAACUUCUCGGCCGUCUGUAGCGUCUCUUGCGGCCGAAUCAAUGUCGGAACCGUCGUAAUUUCGACUCGCCGACGCCGUGAUAUGGGCGGGUUAAUGAUUUCUAGCUGUAUCUCUUCGGAUUCUUCUUCUUCUUCGUCAUCGUCUUCCUCUGUGCCAAAGACGAAACUCUUUGUUAGUGGUAAGUAAGUUUUAUGUUUCCAGUUUCUUCAUCUGCUCAUCACCCCAAUUCGUGAAAGAUGCUUCUGUUAUGGAAUUUUGUUGUUAUAUACUCUGUGAUUCUUUUAGUGUUUCGUUAAGUAGUAUUCAAUUAAAUUCUGCGGCUGUUCACUGAGGAUAUAGACAUUGAGAGCAACCCUGUCAUUUUCUUUGAUAAACUUAGAAGUUAGGAUAUCUCCAAAACCUUAAGAGCGAUGACAUUUGUGGCGCUUGCUUGUCACCAAUUACAUAGUUAACAAUUUUACAUGUUAAAAUCCUUUGUUGGGUGUUUAAAAAUGUAGAGUGAAAGGUAUGACAAACUUUUCCAGGGUGUAGAACCUUUCAGUUUGUUGUGGUAUAGCCUGACUCCUUGAGGAAAUGUCUCUGUUUGGUUUCUUUCAGGAAUAGGUCUGAAAUCGGAGACUAUUAGAGUUACUUUUUAUAUGUUUACAGUGUUUGUACCUAAGACAUUGUCAGAUUUGUUGUAAAGACAGGGAAUGAUUUUGGUUGGUGUGGAAGUAGAAUAAAUGGGUGUGAAGUUUUGAACUUCUGAUGAUCUGGGGAGAUUGAUAUCUUUAUUGUGUUAAUUGUGUUUGCUUUCAUUCGUUAUUGGACCUUGUGGUAUCACUCAGUAUUAUAGCUAAAUCGUUGUGAAUUAGAGCUUUAGACAGUGUUAAUGCUCUUUUAUGGUUUUAUCCACUUUUCACCUCUCUGCUUUCACCACAUGAGACUUGAACUCGAAACAAUAUGGACUUGAUUUUGUUGUUUUUGCACAGGGCUUUCAUUCCGGACAACUGAAGAUACCUUACGGGAUACAUUUGAACAGUUUGGCAAGCUUGUACACAGUAAGCAUAAAGCUCACUUUUGUUCUACUUCUGUCCACAUUCUACAAGUGUGUAACUCAUGUUCUUGCCUGCGUCCCCUCGUGUAGUGAACUUGGUGAUGGAUAAGGUAGCUAAUAGACCAAAAGGUUUUGCCUUCCUACGAUAUGACACAGAGGAGGAGGCUAUGAAAGCUAUUGAAGGGAUGCACGGAAAGGUAUACAGCUUAAUAUCACAGACUUAACUUCAUACUUCAAAUCGUUUUACUGGUGAUUGAUAACAAGAUAUUGGUUAAUAGCAAAUUCUGAUUUGGUGUUUAUACAGUUUUUGGAUGGAAGGGUUAUAUUCGUAGAAGAAGCUAAAAGCAGAUCAGAUAUCUCCAGAGGUAAACCCAGACCAGACUACCCCAAAGCUCACAGACUACCCCAAAGCUCAAUCAAAACCUCGCACCUUUCGUACGUGGUAGCUGUUUUGAUUCUGUGUUCAUACUGUGUAAUGAAUUGUAAAAUUUUGAUCUACCUUCUUAGAUUAUACAAUGGAGUCACUUGUCAACUCCUACUAUGGUUUUACUAGUCUAAACUAAAAUUAACAUUUUUAAAAAUAACAUUUGCCAUGUCAAAAAAUGCAUAAUAUAGCCUUCAAAAUAUAUUUUUCCUUACGAUUAAUAAUUUUACUUAUGAAUCACAGUUUGUGAUAGAAAAUAAUUUUAAAUCAAAAAUUAGGCUUUACCUAUGUUGACGAAUCAAUGAUAAUGUAGCAGAUGACAAAAAAAAAAAAAUAUUACUUAUUCUUUUCAGAAUCUACCUACAUUAUUUGUGUUAAUUAUAUUGGUCCAAUUUACCAAAAAAAAAACGUAUAUGUGAAGUACCAAAAUUAC
rnacentral:lncRNA from 1 species